CCUACGGGAGGCAGCAGUAGGGAAUAUUGCUCAAUGGGGGAAACCCUGAAGCAGCAACGCCGCGUGGAGGAUGAAGGUUUUCGGAUUGUAAACUCCUUUUGUUAGAGAAGAUAAUGACGGUAUCUAACGAAUAAGCACCGGCUAACUCCGUGCCAGCAGCCGCGGUAAUACGGAGGGUGCAAGCGUUACUCGGAAUCACUGGGCGUAAAGAGCGCGUAGGCGGGAUAGCAAGUCAGAUGUGAAAUCCUAGGGCUUAACCAUAGAACUGCAUUUGAAACUGUUAGUCUAGAGUAUGGGAGAGGGAGGUGGAAUUCUUGGUGUAGGGGUAAAAUCCGUAGAGAUCAAGAGGAAUACUCAUUGCGAAGGCGACCUGCUAGAACAUAACUGACGCUGAUGCGCGAAAGCGUGGGGAGCAAACAGGAUUAGAUACCCGGGUAGUC
rnacentral:rRNA from 1 species